UGAAAAGUCGGCCAUUUCUAACUGGUGUGUGAAACAGAGCGGUUGGUACGUGCGUGAGUUUCUGCGAGCAUUGCCGCGCGGGCGCCCGGGUGUGUCUCCCCGGUAGCACCCCCGGUUGUUGCUGGAAGGGCGUUGCUGCUGGAGUAGUGGCAGCUGUGCGUAGCUUGGCUGGUGCGUGGCAAACCGGCAUCGCAGUUCGGUUGGCCCUCGGAUGCGGUCAACGGCACGGUUGUUGUAACAAAAUGGCUGCCGUCUGGUGAAAAACGUGCGCGGCAAAGCGUUGGCGUUAUUUCCGUGGAUGGCGUCAUGUCGGCCUGCUGCAAGGUUAGAAAAUCAGUGCGUGUGUCCGAACCGGUUUAACCAGCACGGAACUAGCGGCCGUCAGUCUUCGAUUAGAAAAUGAUGACCGUUCUCAUUGGCGUUCAGCAUGGACUACCGUAAGGAAACGAUCCAUCGCGUCGCCUUAUUCCCCAUCAACGUGCGUCGAAACCGCGUGGCUUGUCUCUGUUCGUGCUGAAGCGGCUCAUGUUCCCGGUAUUAGAAGCUGGCGGCGGAGACACGCCGGUACGCGGUGUGAAGACCAUGGUUAACGACUUCACCAACACCACAGCACUUCAUAUUCAUACGUGCGCAUCAGUGUGUGUGUGUGAGUAUAAGUCAUCGCGAUUUCCACAUAGGAGUGGAUCGCAAUCGGGACGGCGAAAGAGAUGCAGUAAAAGACCGACUAUUCGGCUUUUCAGCACUAAGUCUCAGCAGCUCUUCUUUCUUCAGGCCGAUGGCAUGGAAAGCCAUCCUGGCUGAAAAGAUCUUUUAAACAACCACUAAAAUUUCGGAUGUAACAUCUAGUAUAAAACCUUGCACCAUAGUGAAUAAGGUAAACUGAUACAGCAUCAGCCCCUUAGCGGAUAGUAACCAGCAAUUGCAUUGACGCCAUUGUGAAUUAGGUAUGUUGUCACUAUGGCAUCCUUGCCAUCGUGGAUGCGAUGCGGCUAUACAGCGUCAGCUCCAUCAUGCAAGCUGUGCGGCGAAAGUGGCACCCCUUAUUCCCUCAAACAACCACUAAAAUUUCGGAUAUUAUUCAAAGCCUAAAUCAUUGAGGUAGUCCGUUGUAGUAGGAAGUUUCGCGUUAAAUUAAACAACCACUCAAAUUUCGGAUGUUAACAUGUGAUAUGCAUUGCCAAUCGCACUCUGAUACUUAAACAUCGGGUAACCGAGAAAAACCCACGGUAAUCGUUCAAGUUCUUUGUUCGUGUAGUUGGGAUCGUAAUCCAAAUGUAAUUUGGAAGUAGGAAGGAACGUAGAAUGUAAUAAACGCGUUAAUCAUUUUCAUGCGCUGCAUGGGAGAAAUAUCAAAAAAA